rnacentral:lncRNA from 1 species
UUUAUCUUAUUAAUUUAUUUUUAGUUAAUUUAUUUCACGUAUUUAUUUUUGUGUAUUUUUAUAAAAAGGUUGUAAUAGCGCAAUAAGGUUAGUAUCGUAAUUUCUCCCUCUUAUUUAUUUUUAUUUGUUUUGUUCCCAUCUUUAUUUUCAUUUUAUUUGUUUUGCAUGCAUGGUCGUAGGUCAUUAUUACCUAAUCUUGAACCUAUAGACCUUGAACUAGAAAAAAUACUUCGC